AACGUACUUCCUCCGUUUCAUAAUUCUUGUCGAAAUAUUAUGUGUAUCUAGACACUUUUUAGAAAUAGAUACAUCUAUUUUUGGAUAAAUUAGAGACAAGAAUUAUGAAACGGAGGGAGUAGUAC
rfam:Brachypodium distachyon strain Bd21 chromosome 5, whole genome shotgun sequence.